CCGGUUGAUCCCGCCGGACCUGACUGCUAUCGGGAUGAGGCUAAGCCAUGGAAGUCGACGUGCGCCCUUGCGCACGUGGCGUACGGCUCAGUAACGCGUGGCUAACCUGCCCUCGCGACGGGGAUAACCUCGGGAAACUGAGGAUAAUCCCCGAUAGGCGAGCGGCUUUGGAAGAACCGCUCACCCAAAGGGACGAAGGGAACGGCCUUCGUCCGCGCGAGGAUGGGGCUGCGUCCCAUCAGGCAGUUGGUGGGGUAAUGGCCCGCCAAACCUAUAACGGGUACGGGCCGUGAGAGCGGGAGCCCGGAGAUGGGCACUGAGACAAGGGCCCAGGCUCUACGGAGCGCACCAAGCGCGAAACCUUCGCAAUGCGGGAAACCGUGACGGGGCCAUCCCGAGUGCAGGCUGCUGAGGUCUGCUUUUGCCCAGUGUAAGAAGCUGGGCGAAUAAGUGGGGGGCAAGACUGGUGUCAGCCGCCGCGGUAAUACCAGCAAUC
rnacentral:rRNA from 1 species